rnacentral:rRNA from 1 species
GAUGAACGCUGGCGGUAUGCCUAACACAUGCAAGUCGUACGAGAGUUUUUAACUCUAGUGGCGGACGGGUGAGUAACACGUGAGAAUUUGCCCUUUAGGAGGGGGACAACAAUCGGAAACGAAUGCUAAUACCCCAUAUGCUUUCGAGUGAAAUGGAUUUUAUCCGCCUAGAGAGAAGCUCGCGGCUGAUUAGCUUGUUGGUAAAGGUAAGAGCUUACCAAGGCGACGAUCAGUAUCUGGUUUGAGAGGACGAUCAGACACACUGGAACUGAGACACGGUCCAGACUCCUACGGGAGGCAGCAGUGGGGAAUUUUCCGCAAAUGGGCGAAAAGCCUGACGGAGCCAAAUUAACCGCGUGAGGGAAGAAUGCCUAUGGGUUGUAAACCUCUUUUUCAGGGAGGAAUCAAAUGACGUGUACCUGAAGAAUAAGCAUCGGCUAACUCCGUGCCAGCAGCCGCG